rnacentral:rRNA from 1 species
AUUGAACGCUGGCGGCAGGCCUAACACAUGCAAGUCGAGCGGAUGAAGGGAGCUUGCUCCUGGAUUCAGCGGCGGACGGGUGAGUAAUGCCUAGGAAUCUGCCUGGUAGUGGGGGAUAACGUCCGGAAACGGGCGCUAAUACCGCAUACGUCCUGCGGGAGAAAGUGGGGGAUCUUCGGACCUCACGCUAUCAGAUGAGCCUAGGUCGGAUUAGCUAGUUGGUGGGGUAAAGGCCUACCAAGGCGACGAUCGGUAACUGGUCUGAGAGGAUGAUCAGUCACACUGGAACUGAGACACGGUCCAGACUCCUACGGGAGGGAGCAGUGGGGAAUAUUGGGCAGUGGGCGGAAGCCUGAUCCAGCCAUGCCGCGUGUGUGAAGAAGGUCUUCGGAUUGUAAAGAACUUUAAGUUGGGAGGAAGGGCAGUAAGUUAAUACCUUGCUGUUUUGACGUUACCAACAGAAUAAGCACCGGCUAACUUCGUG